rnacentral:rRNA from 1 species
UCCGUAGGUGAACCUGCGGAAGGAUCAUUGUCGAUGCCUGCAAAGCUAAACGACCCGCGAACAAGUCAAAAAUAUCGGGCGAGCGGUCCAGGGGGCGCAAGCUCUGUGUGUCCGCGAACCCACUGGCGGAGGGCGUCCUCGGAUGCCCGCUGACCACAAACUCACUCCGGCGCGGAAUGCGUCAAGGAAAUAGAACCGAACUGCACGUCCCCUCCUCCGUUCGCGGCGGCGGUGGCGUCUUUCAGAAACACAAACGACUCUCGGCAACGGAUAUCUCGGCUCUCGCAUCGAUGAAGAACGUAGCGAAAUGCGAUACUUGGUGUGAAUUGCAGAAUCCCGUGAACCAUCGAGUCUUUGAACGCAAGUUGCGCCCGAAGCCAUUAGGCGGAGGGCACGUCUGCCUGGGCGUCACGCAUCGCGUCGCCCCCAAACCACGCACUCCUCAGAAGACUGCGCAGGUUGGGGGGCGGAUAAUGGCCUCCCGUGCUUUGUGGCAUGGUUGGCCCAAAAACGAGUCCCCGGUGACAUGAUGUCGCGGCAUGUGGUGGUUGUAAAAAGGCCGUCUCAUAGUGUCGCGUUGUUGCCUUGUCCCCGGUGCGAUCUCAUGUGACCCUCUGGCACCCCCAAAAGGUGUGUGCUCGACCGCGACCCCAGGUCAGGCGGGACUACCCGCUGAGUUUAAGCAUAUCAAUAAGCGGAGGA